rnacentral:sRNA from 1 species
AUCGCAACCUGGCAGGGGUGUGGAGUUUGCUGGGGGCCUCUGUGGGGCCAUGAUCUGAGGAGGGUAUGUGGGGGGCGGGAGCUCAGCACAUUCCAUGGCCUAGAGGGGCCACACAGAGGCCCCAGUGGGACCCAUGGCGUGGAGGCAGGUAUGGGGAGUUGUGGGGAGAUCCCAGGGUGGUCUGGGGCCUGGAACCGGCCAUUGGGAGGCCCCAGCAGUUUCAGUGCCCAGGGUCUCCCUGCAGAGCCAUGCAUGGCAGAGGAAGUGUGUAGCAUGAGCUGGUACACGCCCAUGCCCAUCAAGAAAGGCAGUGUGGUCAUGCGUGUGGACAUCAGCAGCAAUGGCCUGGGGACCUUCAUUCCAGAUAAAAGGUUCCAGAUGAAUAUCAACGGCUUCCUGAAGAGAGACCGGGACAAUAACAUCCAAUUCACUGUGGGAGAGAAGGUGAGGGA